AAAUGGUGACGUGUGACAUGUGC
rnacentral:siRNA from 1 species